CAAAUUUUUCUUCAAAUAUUACAGAUUGUUGUAUUCCUUUGGAAUAGUUAUCUGAGAAUCCUUAACACCAAUAACGAAGAACGCAUAAUUCCUAUUGCUUAUAAUAUUCAUUUUGUUAAUUGUUCUAUAACACUUUGGUAGUUUAUACGAGUAAUUAAUCUACUGACAAUAUGUCCUGGAAAAAAAGAAAAAAAAAUAUCCAAAUGUAUUCAAUUUAAAAAUUAAUCUUUAAUUCCAAAAUUAUUAUUAACCUUUUCAAUUUUCACAAAAAAAACUAAUAAUUCUUUAUUGAUUAUGAUUCUUACUUUCUUAAUUUUACUCUAAUUUCGAAAUCUUACUUGGAAAUUGGUUAAUUCUCCAAACUGCAAGGAUACUACUGCUCCAUACAUACCUCACCCAAAACAACUUCUGUGUCCUGUAUAGCAACAAGACAGGAGUUGAAGAAGUGAUCUUCAAACUACUAACAAAAACACAAUUUUUAAGGAAAUUAAGACCAACUGCAACUUCAUCUUACAUCUAAAGGAUCCACUAUGGGUCAAGCCUCUGACCAGUCAAAACUCUCUCUACAUAAAAUAUAAAAUCUUUGUCUUUGGGAACAUUUUGCUUUCAUUAAAAAAAUCACAAAACCAA